rnacentral:rRNA from 1 species
AAAAAUUUAAUUUAUAUUUAAAUUUAAUUUUAAAAUUUAUAAUAGUAUAUAAAUUUUUGUUUAAAAUUUUAUAUUAAAUUAAUAAAUUUUUAUUAAUAAUUAAAAUUAUAAAUUAAAGUAAUUUAUAUUUUGUAAAAUUUUAUAUUAAUAAAUUUAAAAAGUGCCAGCAAUAGCGGUUAUACUUUUUAUUUAAAAUUAAAUAAUUUAAUUUAUUAAUAAAUUGAUUUAAAAUUAUAAUUAAAAUAAAAUAAUAAAUAUAAAAAUAUUAGGUUAAAUAUAAAUUUAUUAUUAUAUUUAUUAUUAAAAUAAAAUAAUUUAUAUGAAAUAUUAAUAAAAUUAAUUAAAAAAAAUUAGGAUUAGAUACCCUAUUAUUUUAAUGUAAAAAUAUGAUUUUAAUAAAGUAAAUUUUUUAAAUGAAAUAAAUAAAUUUGACGGUAUUUUAUAUUAUUCAGGGGAAUUUGUUAUAUAAUUGAUAAUCCACGAUAAGAUAUACUUAUAAUUUUAAUAUAUUUAUGUAUAUUCGUUUAAAAAAUUUUUUAAUUGAAGAAAUUUUUUAAUUUUUAAAAUAAAAUAAUUCAGGUAAAUAUGUAAUUUAUUUAUAAGAAUAAUCAAAUGAAUUACAAUAAAAUUUUUAUUUAUAUAAUUUUAUUUAUUUUAAUAGUUAAAAUUAUUUAGGAUUUGAAUGUAAAUAUAAUUAAUUAAUAAUAUUGAUAUUUAAAAAUUAAAAUAUGUACAAAUUGCCCGUCAAUUUAAUUAUUAUAAUUGAAUUAAUUAAAAUAUGAUAAAAUUAUAAUUAAUUAAUUUAAUUAUAUAAAUUAGGUAAGUCGUAACAAAGUAAAAUUACUGGAAAGUGAUUUUAGAAUUUUUAGGAUAAUUU